UUAAUUUCAGGAAACCUGUGAUCUGGGGAAGAUAAAACCUGAGGCCAGACGAUACUUGGAAAAGUCAAUUAAAAUGGGGAAAAGAAAUGGGCUCCAUCUUCCUGAACAAGUACAGAAUGAAAUCAAAUCAAUGAAGAAAAGAAUGAGUGAGCUAUGUAUUGAUUUUAACAAAAACCUCAAUGAGGAUGAUACCUUCCUUGUAUUUUCCAAGGCUGAACUUGGUGCUCUUCCUGAUGAUUUCAUUGACAGUUUAGAAAAGAUAGAUGAUGACAAGUAUAAAAUUACCUUAAAAUAUCCACACUAUUUCCCUGUCAUGAAGAAAUGUUGUAUCCCUGAAACCAGAAGAAGGAUGGAAAUGGCUUUUAAUACAAGGUGCAAAGAGGAAAACACCAUAAUUUUGCAGCAGCUACUCCCAUUGCGGGCCAAGGUUGCCAAACUACUCGGUUAUAGCACACAUGCUGACUUUGUCCUUGAAAUGAACACUGCAAAGAGCACAAGCCGCGUAACAGCCUUUCUAGAUGAUUUAAGCCAGAAGUUAAAACCCUUGGGUGAAGCAGAACGAGAGUUUAUUUUGAAUUUGAAGAAAAAGGAAUGCGAAGACAGGGGUUUUGAAUAUGAUGGGAAAAUCAAUGCCUGGGAUCUGUAUUACUACAUGACUCAAACAGAGGAACUCAAGUAUUCCAUAGACCAAGAGUUCCUCAAGGAAUACUUCCCAAUUGAGGUGGUCACUGAAGGCUUGCUGAACACCUACCAGGAGUUGUUGGGACUUUCAUUUGAACAAGUGACAGAUGCUCAUGUUUGGAACAAGAAUGUUACACUUUAUACUGUGAAGGAUAAAGCUACAGGAGAAGUAUUGGGACAGUUCUAUUUGGACCUCUAUCCAAGGGAUGGAAAAUACAAUCAUGCGGCCUGCUUCGGUCUCCAGCCUGGCUGCCUUCUGCCUGAUGGAAGCCGGAUGAUGGCAGUGGCUGCCCUCGUGGUGAACUUCUCACAGCCAGUGGCAGGUCGUCCCUCUCUCCUGAGACACGAUGAGGUGAGGACUUACUUCCAUGAGUUUGGUCACGUGAUGCAUCAGAUUUGUGCACAGACUGAUUUUGCACGAUUUAGUGGAACAAAUGUGGAAACUGACUUUGUAGAGGUGCCAUCGCAAAUGCUUGAAAAUUGGGUGUGGGACGUCGAUUCCCUCCGAAGACUGUCAAAACAUUAUAAAGACGGAAGCCCUAUUUCAGACGAUCUGCUUGAAAAACUUGUUGCUUCUAGGCUGGUCAACACAGGUCUUCUGACCCUGCGCCAGAUUGUUUUGAGCAAAGUUGAUCAGUCUCUUCAUACCAACACAUCGCUGGAUGCUGCAAGUGAAUAUGCCAAAUACUGCUCAGAAAUAUUAGGAGUUGCAGCUACUCCAGGCACAAAUAUGCCAGCUACCUUUGGACAUUUGGCAGGGGGAUACGAUGGCCAAUAUUAUGGAUAUCUUUGGAGUGAAGUAUUUUCCAUGGAUAUGUUUUACAGCUGUUUUAAAAAAGAAGGGAUAAUGAAUCCGGAGGUUGGAAUGAAAUACAGAAACCUAAUCCUGAAACCUGGGGGAUCUCUGGACGGCAUGGACAUGCUCCACAAUUUCUUGAAACGUGAGCCAAACCAAAAAGCGUUCCUAAUGAGUAGAGGCCUGCAUGCUUCGUGAACUGGGGAUCUUUGGUAGCCGUCCAUGUCUGGAGGACAAGUCGACAUCACCGUGUGUUACUGGCCUGGAAACUGAAGGGAGUUUUGCAAAUGAAAAUUUAGAUUUCUAUUGACAUCCUUUUGUUUUCUAAUUUUAAAAAUUAUAAAGAUGUAAAUGGAAUUAUAAAUACUGUGACCUAAGAAAAGACCCACUAGAAAGUAAUUGUACUAUAAAAUUUCAUAAAACUGGAUUUGAUUUCUUUUUAUGAAAGUUUCAUAUGAAUGUAACUUGAUUUUUUACUAUUAUAAUCUAGAUAAUAUGAUAUAAGAGGGCUAAGAAUUUUUAAAUUGAGUCAUAUACAUGAUAUAAUUUGAUCCUUCUUGUAUCUUGAAGUUUUGUACUUGGGAUUUCUGGGCUGAUAAAUGAAUCAU
rnacentral:sRNA from 1 species